GAUGAACGCUGGCGGCGUGCCUAAUACAUGCAAGUCGAGCGAACAGACGAGGCGCUUGUUCCUUGGUCGUUAGCGGAGGACGGGUGAGUCACACGUGGAUCCUCUACCUAUCUGACUGGGAUAACUUGGAGAAACCGGAGCUAAUAGCGGAGAAUCUAUUGAACCGCAGGGUUCAUUAGUGAAAGACGGCUUUGCGGUCAGUUCUAGAUGGUUCUCGGCGGCAUUAGAUAGUUGGUAGGGUCACGGCUUACCACGGCAACGAGGCGUAGCCGAGCUGAUAGGGUGGUAGCCGACCCGGGAAGUGAGACGGCGUCCAGACGCCUACGGGACGCAGCAGUAGGGAAUCUGCCGCAGUGGGGGAAAGCCUGACGGAGCAAGGCCGCGUGAGUGAUGAAGGUCUUGGGAGCGUAAAACUCUGUUAUGGGGGAAGAACAAAUGUGGAAGGAAAUGUGGCGUUCGUGACGGUACCUAAUCAGAAAGCCACGGCUAACUACGUG
rnacentral:rRNA from 1 species